rnacentral:rRNA from 1 species
ACUCAAAUGAAUAGACGGGGGCCCGCACAAGCGGUGGAGCAUGUGGUUUAAUUCGAUGCAACGCGAAGAACCUUACCUGGGUUAGACAACGCAAGACAGUGGUAGAGAUAUCACCUUGUAGCAAUACACUUGCGGUUCAGGUGCUGCAUGGCUGUCGUCAGCUCGUAUCGUGAGAUGUCGGGUUAAGUCCCUUAACGAGCGCAACCCCUAUCCCUAGUUGCCACCAUUCAGUUGGGCACUCUAUGGAGACCGCCGGCGUUAAGCCGGAGGAAGGCGGGGAUGACGUCAAGUCCUCAUGGCCCUUAUGUCCAGGGCUACACACGUGCUACAAUGGCAGGUACAAAGGGUUGCCAACCAGCAAUGGGGAGCUAAUCUCAGAAAGCCUGUCUCAGUUCGGAUUGAAGUCUGCAAUUCGACUUCAUGAAGCUGGAAUCGCUAGUAAUCGCAGAUCAGAACGCUGCGGUGAAUACGUUCCCGGGCCUUGCACACACCGCCCGU